rnacentral:rRNA from 1 species
GACGAACGCUGGCGGCGUGCUUAACACAUGCAAGUCGAACGGGCCUUGUCCUCUUUUUUUUGGGGGUGGGGUUAGUGGCGAACGGGUGAGUAACACGUGAGUAACCUGCCCCUCACUUCUGGAUAACCGCUUGAAAGGGUGGCUAAUACGGGGUGUUCUGGCCUGCUCGCAUGGGUGGGUUUGGAAAGAUUCGACCGGUUUUGGUUGUUUUGGUGGGGGAUGGGCUCGCGGCCUAUCAGCUUGUUGGUGGGGUGAUGGCCUGCCAAGGCUUUGACGGGUAGCCGGCCUGAGAGGGUGGGCGGUCACACUGGGACUGAGACACGGCCCAGACUCCUACGGGAGGCAGCAGUGGGGAAUAUUGCACAAUGGGCGCAAGCCUGAUGCAGCGACGCCGCGUGAGGGAUGGAGGCCUUCGGGUUGUGAACCUCUUUCGCCAGUGAAGAAGGUCCUGCUCUUUGUGGUGGGGUUGACGGUAGCUGGGUAAUGAAGCGCC